CGGUGGAGCAUGUGGUUUAAUUCGAAGCAACGCGAAGAACCUUACCAGGUCUUGACAUCCCCUGACAACCCAAGAGAUUGGGCGUUCCCCUUCGGGGGACAGGGUGACAGGUGGUGCAUGGUUGUCGUCAGCUCGUGUCGUGAGAUGUUGGGUUAAGUCCCGCAACGAGCGCAACCCUCGCCUCUAGUUGCCAGCAUUCGGUUGGGCACUCUAGAGGGACUGCCGGCGACAAGUCGGAGAAGGUGGGGAUGACGUCAAAUCACCAUGCCCCUUAUGACCUGGGCUACACACGUGCUACAAUGGGCGGUACAAAGGCUGCGAACCCGCGAGGGGGAGCGAAUCCCAAAAAGCCGCUCUCAGUUCGGAUUGCAGGCUGCAACUCGCCUGCAUGAAGCCGGAAUCGCUAGUAAUCGCGGAUCAGCAUGCCGCGGUGAAUACGUUCCCGGGCCUU
rnacentral:rRNA from 1 species